rfam:Clostridiaceae bacterium BRH_c20a BRHa_1004469, whole genome shotgun sequence.
AACUCCCUACGGUGUUCGUGGGGCGAUUCGGUAGUUUUGAGCCAACACUUAAACAUUGGGAGCCUAACUCUGGCUGUGUAGUAUAUGCCCAUCGGGGGACUUACGAAACAAUCAGGAGGGCACCCACCUCCGGGAGCAGGUUCAAAACUCCGGCAUCACGGCAUAUGUGGGGUAUUA